GACGAACGCUGGCGGCGUGCUUAACACAUGCAAGUCGAACGGAAAGGCCCUGCUUUUGUGGGGUGCUCGAGUGGCGAACGGGUGAGUAACACGUGAGUAACCUGCCCUUGACUUUGGGAUAACUUCAGGAAACUGGGGCUAAUACCGGAUAGGAGCUCCUGCUGCAUGGUGGGGGUUGGAAAGUUUCGGCGGUUGGGGAUGGACUCGCGGCUUAUCAGCUUGUUGGUGGGGUAGUGGCUUACCAAGGCUUUGACGGGUAGCCGGCCUGAGAGGGUGACCGGCCACAUUGGGACUGAGAUACGGCCCAGACUCCUACGGGAGGCAGCAGUGGGGAAUAUUGCACAAUGGGCGGAAGCCUGAUGCAGCAACGCCGCGUGCGGGAUGACGGCCUUCGGGUUGUAAACCGCUUUCGCCUGUGACGAAGCGUGAGUGACGGUAAUGGGUAAAGAAGCACCGGCUAACUACGUGCCAGCAGCCGCGGUGAUACGUAGGGUGCGAGCGUUGUCCGGAUUUAUUGGGCGUAAAGGGCUCGUAGGUGGUUGAUCGCGCCGGAAGUGUAAUCUUGGGGCUUAACCCUGAGCGUGCUUUCGAUACGGGUUGACUUGAGGAAGGUAGGAGAGAAUGGAAUUCCUGGUGGAGCGGUGGAAUGCGCAGAUAUCAGGAGGAACACCAGUGGCGAAGGCGGUUCUCUGGGCCUUUCCUGACGCUGAGGAGCGAAAGCGUGGGGAGCGAACAGGCUUAGAUACCCUGGUAGUCCACGCUGUAAACGGUGGGUACUAGGUGUGGGGUCCAUUCCACGGGUUCCGUGCCGUAGCUAACGCUUUAAGUACCCCGCCUGGGGAGUACGGCCGCAAGGCUAAAACUCAAAGGAAUUGACGGGGCCCCGCACAAGCGGCGGAGCAUGCGGAUUAAUUCGAUGCAACGCGUAGAACCUUACCUGGGUUUGACAUGGAUCGGGAGUGCUCAGAGAUGGGUGUGCCUCUUUUGGGGUCGGUUCACAGGUGGUGCAUGGCUGUCGUCAGCUCGUGUCGUGAGAUGUUGGGUUAAGUCCCGCAACGAGCGCAACCCUUGUUCACUGUUGCCAGCACGUUAUGGUGGGGACUCAGUGGAGACCGCCGGGGUCAACUCGGAGGAAGGUGGGGAUGACGUCAAGUCAUCAUGCCCCUUAUGUCCAGGGCUUCACGCAUGCUACAAUGGCUGGUACAGAGAGUGGCGAGCCUGUGAGGGUGAGCGAAUCUCGGAAAGCCGGUCUCAGUUCGGAUUGGGGUCUGCAACUCGACCUCAUGAAGUCGGAGUCGCUAGUAAUCGCAGAUCAGCAACGCUGCGGUGAAUACGUUCCCGGG
rnacentral:rRNA from 1 species